UGAACCUCGAAGGCCGUGGGCGCCAUUGC
rnacentral:piRNA from 1 species